AACGAACGCUGGCGGCAGGCCUAACACAUGCAAGUCGAACGCCCUAGCAAUAGGGAGUGGCGCACGGGUGCGUAACGCGUGGGAAUAUGCCCUUCACUGCGGAAUAACGUUUGGAAACGAACGCUAAUACCGCAUAAUGACUCCGGUCCAAAGAUUUUAUCGGUGAAGGAUUUAGCCCGCGUUAGAUUAGCUAGUUGGUGAGGUAAUGGCUCACCAAGGCGACGAUCUAUAGCUGGUCUGAGAGGAUGAUCAGCCACACUGGGACUGAGACACGGCCCAGACUCCUACGGGAGGCAGCAGUGAGGAAUAUUGGACAAUGGGCGCAAGCCUGAUCCAGCCAUGCCGCGUGAGUGAAGAAGGCCUUCGGG
rnacentral:rRNA from 1 species